CUUGUUUUGGUGCAAGCACAGUGUAGGAGAGAGGUAGAGAUAAGAUGUGACAUCAUAGUUCUGUUCCUUCCACACUGACUCUGCAGGGGAUAUGUUGAGAAUGUACAGACUGCAGACACCAUGAGCAGCCAGCAGCAUUCAGCUAGCUAGCUAGAUCUGAGGCAAGGAUAAGGACGGAGUGAGAGGAAAGCAAAGAGGUAGAG